AUGUGGAAGAAGGCGGUGAAUCGUGAGAGACGCUCGGCGGAGCUUGCGUACAGGCUGCAGGCGUCUCCGCCGCCUGCCGAGGCGGAGGGCCCCCAGCAGGCGGACGUGGAGCGGAGGACGGCGCGGUUCGAGGAGAUGCUGCGGGUGCCGCGGGAGGAGCGCGACCGCGUGCAGCGCACCCAGGUCAUCGACCGCGCCGCCGCCGCUCUCGCCGCCGCGCGCGCUGUACUCAAGGAACCGCCGCAGUCCUCGCCAACGCCGCAGCCGCAGAAGGUGGCGGCGGCCACCAGAGUGACAGGGUCGGGCGACGUUUUUGGUUCGCGCAAGGCUGCAAAGGGGCCUGAGGAUCAGGGCUCCGGGCAGGGGAGCGUACCGGCGGCGUCGCAGUCGGCAAAAGUGACAAACUCUGGGGAUUCAUAUCCUUCCAAGCUUGGUACUCCUGGUCCGGAUUUCUGGUCGUGGUUACCACCCGUAGACACCAGCAGUGAACCGAGAGAAAACAAUAUUGUUUUGAAACCAUCAAAGAAAGUGGAUUCCUUCUCCAGUCAGCCUGAGAUGUUAAUGGAAAAGGAACGGUCAGCAGACUUCUUAUCCCUUCCGUUCGUGACCUCCUUCUUUGAGAAGAAGGAAGAUCGAUCUCUCCCUCCCUUCCAGUCAUUUGCAGAGCCUGAGAAUGUAGAUUCCGGGGCCAUGCCUGUUGUUGAUGCAGAGGAAGCAUUUGAAACGCAGUUCUCAAAUAAUGCAGCUGAGGCGGCUAGAGCUCUCAGUACAAGUGAUGAUAAGUCGUCCCAUGGGAUAGACCCAGAUGGUUCAAAGUGGUGGAAGGAGACCGGUGUAGAACAGAGGCCUGAUGGUGUUGUUUGUAAGUGGACUGUAAUCAGGGGAGUAAGUCCUGAUGGUUCUGUUGAAUUCGAAGACAAGUACUGGGAGGCUUCAGACCGGUUUGAUCAUAAAGAAUUAGGUUCCGAGAAGUCCGGUCGUGAUGCUAGGGGCAAUGUUUGGCGGGAAUACUGGAAGGAGUCCAUGUGGCAGGAUUUCACAUCUGGUCUUAUGCAUAUGGAGAAGAGCGCAGACAAGUGGGGAAAGAAUGGCAAAGGGGAGCAGUGGCAAGAGAAAUGGUGGGAGCAGUAUGAUUCAAGCGGUAAAGCUGAAAAAUCGGCUGAUAAAUGGUGCAGCUUGGAUCCAAACACUACGUUGGAUGUUGGGCAUGCUCAUGUUUGGCAUGAAAGGUGGGGUGAGACGUAUGAUGGCAGCGGAGGCAGCGUGAAAUACACGGACAAAUGGGCCGAGCGGUCAGAGGGCGACGGGUGGUCGAAAUGGGGUGACAAGUGGGAUGAGCAUUUCGACCGUAACGGCCACGGCGUGAAGCAGGGGGAGACCUGGUGGGAAGGCAAAUACGGGGACCGGUGGAACCGCACCUGGGGCGAGGGCCACAACGGCUCCGGUUGGGUGCACAAGUACGGGAGGAGCAGUAGCGGUGAGCACUGGGACACUCACGAGCAGCAGAAGACGUGGUACCAGCGCUACCCGCAUUUCGGCUUCCACCACUGCUUCGAGAACUCGGUGAAACUAUUGUCCGUGCCCAGGCAGCCUCCAAAGAAUAUCAAGCCUGGGAAAAGAGUAGAUGCUCCUUAA
rnacentral:rRNA from 1 species